GAUGAACGCUAGCGGCAGGCUUAAUACAUGCAAGUCGUGGGGCAGCAUGAGUAGCAAUACUUGAUGGCGACCGGCAAACGGGUGAGGAACACGUACACAACCUUCCUUCAAGCGGGGAAUAGCCCAGAGAAAUUUGGAUUAAUACCCCAUAAUAUAUUUGAUAAGGCAUCUUAUUAAUAUUAAAGCUUCGGCACUUGAUGAUGGGUGUGCGGCUGAUUAGAUAGUUGGCGGGGUAACGGCCCACCAAGUCUACGAUCAGUAGCUGAUGUGAGAGCAUGAUCAGCCACACGGGCACUGAGACACGGGCCCGACUCCUACGGGAGGCAGCAGUAAGGAAUAUU
rnacentral:rRNA from 1 species